rnacentral:tRNA from 1 species
CGGGAUGUGGCGCAGCUUGGUAGCGCACUAGUCUGGGGGACUAGGGGCCGCUGGUUCGAAUCCAGUCAUCCCGACCA